rnacentral:lncRNA from 1 species
GUUCUGAGACCUUGUGGUUCAGGGUGGGGUAUAAAUCUAAACAAACACAUCAAUAAACACUGGAGGCAUGGCCAGAACACACAUGCAGAGCAAUCUUUUCCGUGUAUUUAAUCUGUCUGUAUGAUAAACUAAAAAUUAGUUAUUGUUUAACAACAGACUCUCACAAUAAUGUUUAUUAUGUUCAGCAUUUCAUAUUCUGUUCAUCCUUUAAAACAGUCCUGCAACUUUGUUUUAUAAGAAUAAGUUCACAUUCAGAUCCUUCCUAAUUAUUAGGUUUAAAUUAAAAAGUUUCAUUUACUAAUAAUUUCUGCCCAUUAAACUUCUAUAAAAGCUAUAAAUGGCUUUUUUUUGUUUUUUUCUAGGAACCUAUUCAGUCCUACUACUGGAUUAUUUAUAUUCCCUUCUACCUCAUUCUCUAAGUGUUGUAUAGCAGGAGCACAAUUUUGUAAAGCAUUGCUUAGAUUUUUCUUUUUUAAAGCAGGUAGCAAGGUCAAAUCUAAACUCACCAAUUUUAGAGACGUCUGUGGAGCAGAAACACCUCCAUCAAUAGAAUCACAAAGUCACAAGGAGGGUUAAGGACAUCAAACCUCCUUCACUACAUUUAGGACUUGCAAAGAUAUUUAGCAGGUGGUUUGCCAACCUGUGCUUGAACAUACAUAUCCAUUGAGCGGGAGGCUGCAUUUGGCUUUGGGAUUAAACUGACCUAACUGUAAAGUGUUUUACAAUACAACUAGAAUCUGCCUUAUUAAAAAAAAAAAAAAUCCAUGUCCUGAAAUUUGAUAAUUCCACAAUUCCAGGGUGGCAAAGAACAGGUCAUAAUCCUUUUCUUUGAAACUCCUUUCAGAUCUCUAAAAUGUUGUUUCAAAACUUCCCUCAGGCUUCUCACAAUUAAACCAUUUGCCAGACUUUGUUUCCAGUUUCCUGAUCAUUUCUGCUGUUCCGUUUGGCAGGUGAAGCCACAGUUUGUCUAAUUCUAUAAAGCCAAUGUUGGUGAGAACCUGCCUGAGUUUUACCCAUCUUACUUUAAUUCUGCCAGAGAAAUUACUUCUUGGACAGAUACAUUGCAACUGCCUGGGCUUGGUGCUGAAAAUGAUGUUUUGUUGUGAAAGCAGACAGAAGAAUCUCCAAGGAGGAAAUAAUCCUGUCUUCUCAGAAGGACGCUAGAUUUAGUCUGUGCAUAGUCCCGCUGCCUCCCCGUGGAGGAAACAUACCAUCCACUAACAUUUCCCCGUUAUAUCUCUACGGUCCCUUUAAAGCCCAACUUUUCCCUUGCUCAGCUCCCUCAUCACAACACUGGCACACGUGCGUCCCCACGUGCUCCCAAAUCUGCACACUCUCCGUUUUCCACCUCCUGCCGCCUUCCUAUUGGCUAAAACUGGGUCAGGCUCCUCCCAAUGCCUCUGCUGCAAUUGGCCAAAUCUAG